GAUGAAGAACGCAGCGAAAUGCGAUAAGUAAUGUGAAUUGCAGAAUUCAGUGAAUCAUCGAAUCUUUGAACGCACAUUGCGCCCCUUGGUAUUCCGAGGGGCAUGCCUGUCCGAGCGUCAUUUCAACCCUCAAGCACUGCUUGGCGUUGGCGGAUUGCGUGCCCUCGCGGCGCUGCAACCGCCCAAAUACAGUGGCGGUCCCGCUGCGGCUCCCUUUGCGUAGUAACUCACCUCGCACUGGACCGGGCGGCGGCCUGCCGUAAAACCCCAACUCACGAAAUGUUGACCUCGGAUCAGGUAGGAAUACCCGCUGAACUUAAGCAUAUCAAUAAGCGGAGGA
rnacentral:misc_RNA from 1 species